rnacentral:rRNA from 1 species
UACGUAGGCAGCGAGCGUUGUUCGGAGUUACUGGGCGUAAAGGGUGCGUAGGCGGCGCGGUAAGUCGGGUGUGAAAUCUCGGAGCUUAACUCCGAAACUGCAUUCGAUACUGCCGUGCUUGAGGACUGGAGAGGAGACUGGAAUUUACGGUGUAGCGGUGAAAUGCGUAGAUAUCGUAAGGAAGACCAGUGGCGAAGGCGGGUCUCUGGACAGUUCCUGACGCUGAGGCACGAAGGCCAGGGAGCAAACGGG